CAGCCGCCGCGGUAAUACAGAGGGUGCGAGCGUUAAUCGGAUUUACUGGGCGUAAAGCGUGCGUAGGCGGCUUUUUAAGUCGGAUGUGAAAUCCCUGAGCUUAACUUAGGAAUUGCAUUCGAUACUGGGAAGCUAGAGUAUGGGAGAGGAUGGUAGAAUUCCAGGUGUAGCGGUGAAAUGCGUAGAGAUCUGGAGGAAUACCGAUGGCGAAGGCAGCCAUCUGGCCUAACACUGACGCUGAGGUACGAAAGCAUGGGGAGCAAACAGGAUUAGAUACCCCCGUAGUCCCUGUCUCUUAUAC
rnacentral:rRNA from 1 species